rnacentral:rRNA from 1 species
UACGUAGGGUGCGAGCGUUAAUCGGAAUUACUGGGCGUAAAGUGUGCGCAGGCGGCCGCGCAAGUCGAGUGUGAAAGCCCCGGGCUUAACUUGGGAAUUGCGCUCGAAACUACGUGGCUGGAGUGUGGCAGAGGAAGGUGGAAUUCCACGUGUAGGCGGAUGAAAUGCGUAGAGAUGUGGAAGGAACACCAAUGGCGAAGGCAGCCUUCU